GAAUCUGCCUUCAGGUUCGGGACAACCACUGGAAACGGCGGCUAAUACCGAAUGUGCCUCCACGUGAAAGAUUUAUUGCCUGAAGAUGAGCUCGCGUCCGAUUAGCUAGUUGGUGAGGUAAUGGCUCACCAAGGCGACGAUCGGUAGCUGGUCUGAGAGGAUGAUCAGCCACACUGGGACUGAGACACGGCCCAGACUCCUACGGGAGGCAGCAGUGGGGAAUUUUCCGCAAUGGGCGCAAGCCUGACGGAGCAAUACCGCGUGAGGGAGGAAGGCCCUUGGGUUGUAAACCUCUUUUCUAGGGAAGAAGAAAGUGACGGUACCUGAGGAAUCAGCCUCGGCUAACUCCGUGCCAGCAGCCGCGGUAAUACGGAGGAGGCAAGCGUUAUCCGGAAUUAUUGGGCGUAAAGCGUCCGUAGGUGGUUGUGUAAGUCUGCUGUCAAAGCACGGAGCUUAACUCUGUAAAGGCGGUGGAAACUGCGCGACUCGAGUGCGGUAGGGGCCGAGGGAAUUCCCAGUGUAGCGGUGACAUGCGUAGAGAUUGGGAAGAACACCUGUGGCGAAAGCGCUCUGCUGGACCGAAACUGACACUCAUGGACGAAAGCUAGGGGAGCG
rnacentral:rRNA from 1 species